GGAGAGGUGGCUGAGCGGUCGAAAGCAACGGUUUGCUAAAUCGUCGUACUCGAAAGGGUACCAAGGGUUCGAAUCCCUUCCUCUCCGCCA
rnacentral:tRNA from 1 species